rnacentral:rRNA from 1 species
CCUCAGAGCAGGCGAGACUACCCGCUGAAUUUAAGCAUAUCAUAAACCGGGAGAGAAAAAUUUUUUUAUGUUUUAUCUUUUGUUGCUGCCUAUCAAUGUUGUGCUCCUUCCUUGACUUGUGUUAUCUCUGCUCU